UCAGUGACGCUUCAGCUGUGUCCUGAAGGAUGAGUAACAAGUCAAGGGGAUGAGAAGGGCGUACCAGGCAAAGGUAGCAGCGUGUGCAAAGGCACGGACGUGUGAGAGAACGUGGCACGUUCUGGUCCAACCUUCUUUGUUAUGGAUGAGGAACCCGAACUUCAGAAAAGUAAGACUCCUGAACGUAUACAGAAACAGAGACAUGGAAAUAAAUUCUGCUCUUGGAGGCCACGUGACUGGUACUCAGCGACUCAGCACCCCAGCCGGAAGGGACAGAAUCAUGCUGCUGACUUCCAGUGCAAACACAUUGUUGUAUGGCCAGCACUGGAGGAUGCUGGGAGAAGAAACAUUCUUACAGGAACAGUUGCUUUCCUGGAAAGGUUAGCUCGCCUGGCUGGGGUUGAGCCAGAAAAGCUGACUCUCACCCUAGCAAGUUCUCUAUCACUCCAAGGCCCUGGAUACUCCAAGAAGACCACCCAACACCAGGCAGCCUCCUUCUGUACCAGCCUCUGGCUUCUUGCCAGUUUGGAGGCUCAUAAUCCAACCAGUUGGUAUGCACCGCUUUCCACCACCUGUCGGUUCUCAGAGAUCUGGUGCAGCUCUCUUCUUUGA
rnacentral:lncRNA from 1 species